UUGCUGUUGCUGCACAAGGAGUCAACUCACUGACAUCUGUUUUGGGUUCUAAUACUACAAGGUGUGUGAUUUUUGAGAAUGUUUUAAGAAAAGAAGAUCCUAAACAGCAUAGAGAUAAUUGAGAACAUGAGCAUGGAAAAACUAAGAAGGAAAGAUAUACAGAAAAAGGAAAUCUUAAAGGUCCUUCCAAAAGUACAACAGAACUUUGGCAAUGAAGACUUUUCAAGUUCAUCCAUUGUGUAUCAUGAAAGAGGGACAAAGAAAAGAAUAUAAAACACUGGGCCCAAAGCAGAAUGGAAAAAUAUCAUCUCACAUCCAAAUGGCACUGAUUCUAAAAAGCAUUAGAAAAAGAAUGAAUUAUGCCUGGAAAAAGGUAAAGAUAAAGAUUCAUCUAUUUAUCUACCUAAAAUAUUUUAAGGAUAAAACUUUAUGA
rnacentral:lncRNA from 12 species